rnacentral:rRNA from 1 species
AAUGAACGUUGGCGGCGUGGAUUAGGCAUGCAAGUCGCGCGAUUUCCUUCGGGGAAGAGCGGCGGAAGGGAGAGUAACGCGUAGAUACCUACCCUCAGGACUGGAAUAGCGACGGGAAACUGUCGGUAAUGCCAGAUAACGUCCCUGGACCAAAGGUGUGAAUCCGCCUGAGGAGGGGUCUGCGUCCUAUUAGCUAGUUGGCGGGGUAACGGCCCACCAAGGCGAAGAUGGGUACCGGGCGUGAGAGCGUGACCCGGCUCACUGGGACUGAGACACUGCCCAGACACCUACGGGUGGCUGCAGUCGAGAAUCUUCGGCAAUGAGCGCAAGCUUGACCGAGCGACGCCGCGUGCGGGAUGAAGGCUUUCGGGUUGUAAACCGCUGUCAGUGGGGAGGGAAUUCUUGGGGGUACUCCCCCUUGAUUGACCGAUCCGCAGAGGAAGGACGGGCUAAGUUCGUGCCAGCCGCCGCCGUAACAC